rnacentral:lncRNA from 1 species
GAAAAAAAAAGAUCUAGGUAGAAGCUAAAAGGACCGGCAGUGUAAGGCGGUAUGGAGAGGGCCAAACGAAUGAACCAUACAGACUUUUGACUGGUGUUGAGUACAUUGUUGGAAGAAAAAACUGUGGCAUUCUAAUUCAAGAUGAUCAGUCGAUCAGUCGAAAUCAUGCUACAUUAACCGCUAACUUUUCUGUAACCAACCUGAGUCAAACAGAUGAAAUUCCUGUACUGACAGUAAAAGAUAAUUCUAAGUAUGGUACCUUUGUUAAUGAGGAGAAAAUGCAGAAUGGUCUUUCUCAAAUUUUGAAGUCCGGGGAUAGAGUUACCUUUGGAGUGUUUGAAAGUAAAUUCAGAGUAGAGUAUGAACCUUUGGUUGCAUGCUCUUCUUGUUUAGAUGUUUCCGGGAAAACUGCUUUAAGUCAUGCCAUAUUGCAACUCGGAGGACUUACGGUAAACAGUUGGACAGAGAGAUGUACUCAUCUUGUCAUGGUAUCAGUUAAAGUUACCAUUAAAACAAUAUGUGCACUCAUUUGUGGGCGUCCGAUUGUAAAACCAGAAUAUUUUACUGAAUUUCUUAAAGCAGUUCAGUCCAAGAAACAACCUCCAGAAAUUGAAAGUUUUUACCCACCUGUUGAUGAACCAGCUAUUGAAAGUAAAAAUAUUGAUCUAUCAGGACGCCAGGAAAGAAAACAAAUCUUCAAAGGGAAAACAUUUGUCUUUCUAAAUGCCAAGCAGCAUAAAAAAUUAAGUGCAGCAGUUAUAUUUGGAGGAGGAGAUGCUAGGUUGAUAACAGAAGAAAAUAAAGAAGAUGAUAGUUUCUUUUCAGCUCCUGGAACUUGUGUUGUUGAUACAGGACUAACAGAUUCACAGACUUUAGUUCCUGACUCUCAGAAAAAAUGGAUUCAUUCAAUUAUGGAUAUACUCCAAAGGCAGGGUCUUAGACCUAUUCCAGAAGCAGAAAUUGGAUUAGCAGUUAUUUUUGUUACUACAGAGAAUUACUGUGAUCCACAGGGCCAGCCCAGUACAGGACUGAAGACCACAACUCCAGGUCCAAGCCUUUCCCAAGCCUUACCAGCCAAUAAAAAUUUAAUGCCAGAUGCCUCAGUGAAUGCUACAGCAUAUGUAGCUGACACAGAAUCAGAACAAGCAGAUACAUGGGAUGUGAGUGAAAGACCAAAAGAAAUCAAAAUAUUUGGAAUGGAACCAAAAUGUCGAAUACUUUCACAAGAAACGUCCACUGUGAAGAAACCCCACAAAAUAAGCUCUAAUAGUAAUAUAGUGUCAAAUACUCUGGUUAGGAUGAAAAUCCCAAACUAUCAGCUUUCACCGACUAAAUUCCCACAUGUAAAUAAAAGUAGAGGUUGGCCUUCUCAGCAUCAGCAAACCAACUCCAUCAAAGACUAUUUUCAGCCACUUAACUCUCCCAAAAAAAGGGAAAGGGAUGAAGAAAAUCAAGAAAUGUCUUUAUCCAAAUCAGCAAGAAUGGAGAUAUCUUGUUCUCUUUUAGAACAAACACAACCAACUACAUCCUCAAUAAGGAAAAUUAAGGAUGAGCACCUAUCUCAGAAUGUGCUUGUGGGAAAAAACCCAGAUAAUUCAUAUGCAGAUACCAAUUUAAAACCUACUGUGAAAAAUUAUGCCAAUAAGUCUCUUUUUACAGAAAAACUAAAAUCAGAAAAAAGAAAAGAAAUUGAUGAUUUAGCCAUAGAAGAGGAAGUAUUGGAACAGUUAUUCAAGGAUACAGAAUUAGAGUUAGAAAGCGAAGUGAAAGUUCAAAAACAAGAGGAAGAUACCAAUGUUAGAAAAAGGCCACGAUUGGAUAUAGAAACAAAUGCCACUUUUAAUGAUGAAACAAUACCAGAAAGUAACAAGAUAUCUCAAGAAAAUGAAAUUGAGAAGAAGUGUGAGCUCAAGAAAGAAUCACUCUGGUCAACUAAAGAACUAUCUAACAAUGGUGAACCUCAGGAUGGUGAUGAGAUGCUUCCAAAGAAAGUGUUACUGACUGAAUUUCGAUCCCUUGUGGUUUGUAAUUCCACCUCCAGAAAUGCAUCCAGUGUGAAUAAUGAUUAUGGUGAACUAAAGAAUUUCAAGAAAUUCAAAAAGGUCACAUUUCCUGGAGCAGGAAAACUUCCACACAUCAUUGGAGGAUCAGAUCUAAUAGCUCAUCAUGCUCGAAAGAAUACAGAAUUAGAAGAGUGGUUGAGGCAGGAAAUGGAGGUUCAAAAUCAGCAUGCCAAAGAAGACUCUCUUGCUGAUGACCUCUUUAGAUACAAUCCUAAUGUUAAAAGGAGAAGAUAACAAGGUUUUAUGAAGAAGCCACAGAAAAACAUUUCCUGUUUAGUAUUUACUUCACGUUUCCUCUGCAAUACAUUCAUAUCAUGUAUAGAAGAUUUAAGUUU